UUCAAUACCUUCAAAUAUACUAAUCUACACAUUUGUUUGCAAUUCAACAAAAAUCAAAUUUUAAGAAACUACAAAAGCAAUCCAUAAUUUCUUCUCAAUUGAACUUUACUUGACAAUCUGUUUCUUUAACGUUUAGACUUGUCUUUGCAUCACCAAUACAUCUUUGUGCUUGGUUUCUUCAUUUUCUUUGUCGUCUUUGCUCGUUUAUUGGUUGCCAAUUUCCAUAUUUUUUAUUUCUUCCAUCAAUCUCUCAACUUUUUCAUUGUUUCUUUCAACACACCAUUUAAAAAACCUAAAACAUAAUCUUCUAUCCUGCCAUAAAUUAACCCAAUUAUUAUUCUCAUUCAUAAUCAAAUCAGAAUAGUAAAAAAAUUAACAAAAUAAAUAGAUAGUGCUUGCCACAAAAGCAAAACAUACAUACUGCAACUUCAUAGUACCCAUAUGAAUAGUAAGAGUAGAUGGCUUCUGAGAUAGACAAAAUGGAAUAUGGCAAAACAUAAAAAGAGAAGGGAGAAAGAAAUUAGAAGAAAUAAUAAAGAAAUUAGAAGAAAGAAUACAAGAGAUUAGUAUACACCUUGAAAUGAGAACCAUCGAUGAACCUUCUUUCCGGAUCUACAGUUCCCUCUUUUCAUGUUACCCACAUCAACACAACUAAACCACAUCGGCAUGUCACCAGACUUCUGGACAUCUCCCAAUCAUCGGCAUGAUUUGUGAUGCUGAUUUUAUUGGAGUUGCUUAUGUUAAUUCCUCUGUUAAUUGUCUUCUCUUCUUCGUCGCUCUCGGUGAUGGAUGAGAAACCAAUUUGGAAUCAAUUUGGGACUGAUUAAGGGACUUGGGGCUUUUGAUAAGUCUUUG
rnacentral:lncRNA from 1 species